AAGUUCCCUGGUAGACUGCACCUAUGAAUCAAUGUUAGACAAUAGUGUGUCUACCCUUGAAGCUGUAAGCAUUCUGGAAGUCCAACCCAGAAGGACAUUUUUUGCCAGAUGGAGGUUCCAGUUCAGGAAAAUAUUAAAACAGAGAUUUCAAAGGGACUUCAUAAAAUGCUUGAAGUGAUAUUUUAACGUAAUAACAAGAGAUUUGGAAAUAAAUCACCAAAGCUAUAAAACUCAUAUAUGCAUGUCCCAUGCUGAUCGUAACACAACUUGCUUACUAAGGAAGAGGAAGUCUUGCUUACCUGGCAGAAAGCGAAGGGAAAAGAGUUUCUCUUUGUCAUU